GAGGGAGCUGCGGCGGUGGCAGGCGGCGGGGUGCCUGCGGCGCGGCUCGGCUCGGCUCGGCGGACAGCUCCCACCAUGGACGCCUAGCUCAUUUAUUAAUCGGACAGAACUACCGCAGAUGGGCUGGAGGCUGCAAUUCCAAGGCAGAGAAAAGUUCCACGCAAGUCUGCAAGGAACCUGGCAAGUCACAGCCAUGCAAAAAGCACCCAACCACAUAGUCUGCUCUCCCAAUAACUGGCAUAGCCAAAACAACUAUUUUUUAUUAAUUUAUAAUUACAGUGUAUUGGGCUCUUUAGUUGAUUUUCAGGGCAAAGUCAUAAAUGAAAAAGGCAUCUGAAAUGCUGGGAUGUAGCCUCAGUCUUUGUGUUGCAUCAUAUUUUUUUAUUGUAUUUUUAAGAACAAAAAGCAGAUAGAAAAUAAAAUUGAGGGAAUAUACCAAUCUGCCUUAUACUGCCUUAGUACCAAACAUUUGAUCCCCUCCCUUUCCCCUGUGAUACAGACAGAGAUGGCUGCUGGAAGAAUAAAGCACCUUUCACAGUAUGUGCAAGAUGCUCACAGAUUUUCCACAAAUUCUGUAGAAACCUCAUUUGUUUUCUGCUUGUGGUUCACAGGAGCACUUAGCUUUUUAGUGGUUGACACUAUAUCUAUUUUUAGCAGCAUUUUAACAGCUGUCACUAACAAAUACGGUCCCAUCUUGAACAAGGAGAGGAGUUUAUCUGUUUUAUUUUAAAAAAAUCAAACUCUGUAAUUGUCAGAUUAUAAAAUGCAAUUUGGAUCUUUAUCUGUGAAGAGAAAAGGCUAUCUUUUCUCAUUAUGCCAAUUCCAUGGGGGGGAAAAAAAGGGGGAGAGGGAUCUGUAGUGGGCUUGAUAAAGUAACGAAAGGGUGUUGCAAGGUUCGGAAAUAAUGUUAUUCAAAGGCAUACAAAUGUAUAUAUAGCACAUUUCAGAUUCGGUUAAAAGUGGUCCUGUUUUACUGCCUUCUGCAGCUGUGUUGCGAUGGGGAAGCCGCAAAGAGUCGAGUCAUAGUUUUCCAAGUAGGUCAAGAGGAGCAGUGCGGACACCUCCAAUGAGCAAUUCUCUUCCCUCAUAUUAGGUUUUAUUAGAGGUUAACUCAUGUCAGACAUAUGACACUGAAAGCAGCAGACAGACAAGUGUAAGGCACUCUGUAGCAGAUGUCAUCUCUGUUCCUAAAGGUAGGGGCAAAUUUGCUAUGGAUAAUGCAUUACAAAUCAAGAUAAUGCUGAAACUCAGCAAGUGUCAAAUUGUACCUCCUCCCAUGCUUGGAAAAGCGAGGGAAUUGGUAUUAGGGGCUGCAGGAGCAGCGAUGUAGUGUAAAAGCAGCCUACUGUACUGUCUUACUUAGAGGUCAUGUGCCCUAUUUUGAGAACUGAACCAAAGCGGAUGAAGUUUUGAGUCGGUUCCAACUAAGUCAGCUGGGCAUUUCCCACUUCUCUCCAGCUCCAGCCCAGGAAUGCAGGCAAUCACAUGGUCACACAUAUUAUUCCUUUACGCGACAUUACUCACCGUAGAUUUAAUUUUUGUGCCAUUUGGCUCAUAUGGGUUUGAUUAGUUGAGAUUUACACCUGGUCAGAAGUAGUUGUGUUUUGGGAAGACACUGGAAAAACAUCAGGGAUGACAGGUGAGAGUUUACUUUCCCUGACCAGCAGGCGUGAGUCUUCCAAGAGAAGAGUCCACAGUCUUCUCCUACUUGCCAGUUAAUUGUAUUGAAUCUAAUUUCCCAAGCCAUGCUGAAAGUCUUUAGAAUUCUUUACAAGGCUAAAUGUAAGUAAGCAUGUUUUCUGUAUAGUAUGUUUAUGUUCUCUGAGAUAUCAAUAUUUUAUCUAUUUAGUCUAAUUUUGAACAAUUUUGUUUUCUAAUUAUAGAUAAAUCCUUUAGCUGAGCAACAGAACAUGUUCCUUUUUAACCUGUAUUCUUUCUUUUCUACCUGUAUUUUUUCUUUUUUUUAAUGCUCUUUAAUGGCCCUGUUGUAACUGCAGUUGAACCACAUCUAAGUAUAGUACAAUUGCAUUUCUAAUGCACACUGGCAUUAGCAACCACUUGCUUGUGUAAAGGGCCAAGGCACGCUUUUAAAAACACCUAUUUCCAAUACAUUUCAAAUCACAGUUUUUAUUGACUAUUAGCACCGAUAGUUUCAUCUGCUUCAAAAUAAAAACAUCUCACAAGGAAUCGCUUGUUGUGGAUAAUAGGUCUUGCAGACCGUGGUAGGACAAACAAAGCAUAAGGAAUGAUACAUGGGCACUACUUUGUAUUUUCUGAAGCUUUAAUAUUGCCACAUAUGUUUAUAUUGUUUAUAGUCAGCUUCUUUCUUGUUUACUCUUGCACUAUUACUUGUAAGAAAAUGCAAUUUGUAAAAAAAUUGUAACUGCCACAGAAUGCAGCCUUAUCUCGAUAUUAAUGAAUUCCCAAGCAAUAAAAGGUAGUGGCAGCUAAUUGUAUCUUAAUAUUUAUCUACUACCUACUGGCGUUUUUACAGUAUCAAAUGGUAACUUAUGCCAUAAUCUGAUAAAAAUUUUGUAGUAACCAUAAUAGUACUGCACCUAUGCCAAAAACCCAGACACAGUGCUUAACAGCAGUAAAAAGAGCAAAUAGCACCCUCCAGCACUUAAUAAACAUAUCAAAUGCAAAUUGGAGGAAAUUAUUUAAUCAGUCUAUAGGCUAGUUAAUUUUGAUGAUUAUUCACAGUUCUAGUAGCAAUACUUUAAGUGUGGAAUAAGUUAGUACCGAAAUUGUCAUGACACCAAGGUCAUAAGCAGAAUUUGAAACUUGCUGCUUAGAGGAAAUUAUCUUCCUGAUUGAAUGAAGGUGCAGCUUUAAAGCUCCUACAGCAAAAGGAGAAUUCUUAUGUAAUUUUCCAGAUUCUUCUAUAGCCCUGAAAUUGCCUGCUCUCAGAUAUUAUGCAAUGAGAGAUGGUUUGGUAUUAACCUGCAUGAUCAUACUCAUAUUGAGACUUGAAAAACCUUUGUUUUCUAAAUUUUUUAAAAUCUGUAUUUCCUGGAGAAGAACGAUUUCAGCUGGACCCUCCCCAAAGCGUACAGUGAAGAAUGGACUGAGGAGAGCAACGCUGUGAAGCUGAGAGAAUGAGCAAGAAGCAUGUGCAAGACAGAAAAGGAAAAAAAAAUCUAUUGAUUUUGGUGGAAGUUGCACUGCUUUCCUAAAUAGAUGUAUUUUGUUGAUUUUGUUUAUAUAUUAAAUGCUCGUUUCCUAUGUAGGCUAUGAUCCAGCUCAAGGAGUUCAUUCAGUGUGUCCCCUGGGCCCACACUGGGCAAUUGAUCCUGCACAACAUGGAGAGUUGGUCCUUAUCAGAUGCAUGUUGAUUUACACAGAUUUGGUUAAGAAAGGAACAUAUUUGUCACAAGGAACCAUAAGUCAGUGUUCUGAGGAUGUGUCCUGGCUUUGGAGAUCAAGGUCACACCAGAAUUUGUCUGGCCUAGACGAAACAGCUGGUAAUGAAAAGUCAUGCAUUCCAGCAUUUUCCCACCAGUACUUGGCCCACAAGCCAGGGUGACAGAAAUUUUGACACGUUGGGAGCAUCUGUCCCUAAUGGCCCCAAACAUGUGCAAAUACACAGCAUGAUUCACAGGUGGGAGUAGAUAUCCUCACCAGCCCUAUUGCCUGGCUAUGGUUCAUUCUCUUUUGGUUUAAGUGAGAGUCACUCAGCUUGGCUUCCACAAAGGGUGCUGUCUCUGUCAGCACUUGUGCAGUCCUGGCACCUGCAGCAUCCAAGUACCACACGGGUCCAUUUCUUCUGAGCUCUGGAAAGAGGAGCAGCACUAUCACCAUUUUAUAGGCAGGGAGUGGAGGAGCAAAGAGAUUGCAGGAUUUAUUUCAGGCCACUAAGAGGGUUACAAAGUACAAAGCUCAGUAGUUCCCAAAUCACAGAUCACUGCCUUCCAUUGCAGGACCAGAUUUCCUUUUCAGCCGCGGCCUUCACAAGAAUGCUGCCUGAGCAUGAGUGAUGUAGAGUUAAAACACUUUUGGUUGUUUUGGACUGGGGAAGGAAAACAUGCCGUGCUCUGUUUGAAUGGGUUCAGUAUUGAAGUGAAUUUUAGAAGCCCCAUAUUGUUGGGGCUUUUACUCUAUGGAUUAUCAGCAGCCACUGAAGAUUGAUGUUACCUUCCUUGCCUGCUUCAAUGAACCUGGUUGGAAUAGUCACAUUCCAUGAAUGUGCAAGAAUUUCUGGCAUGAAUUCUUGUACAUGCACAUUUGCAUUUUGGCUUCUGUGCAUGCUGUUCAUGCACUCACCACUUUAAACUCUGCUUUUCAUGAGUAAUUCUGACAAAAAAAUUAAUUCCUUCAUAUAUACACAUAAAGCAAGUACGUAAGAGGCCAAACGAAAGUAAUUUCAUAAGUUUUUUCUUUAUUUAUUCAUUUUACAUUCCAUUCUCAGCCCUGGCUAGACAGUCACAGAGUAGAAAUUAUGUACCCCUCUCAAGAUUUCAAAAGGAAGACCAGCCAGGACUCAAAGGAAAUCGUUCAAGAGCCAAAGCUGGUCCAGGGCAGGACUCACAGAGGGUUUAGCAAACAAGAAUUUCUCCUGGCAUGGUUCAUUUAUGUCCUCUAUGCAUGACUUAAAAUUGAAAACAUGAGCCUAUCAGAAAUCUUUUGUAUUCAACAGCUGCAUGGAAGACAUGACUACUUCCAAAUGUAAGAGCAGGUAUUGAUCCUUUUAAUCUGGGUACUUUAGUCCUGCUCUAGGCAGACGACACCUGUCCCUGUGAUGCUAGUCCUGCAAGACUUUUCAAGUCCUAACCAUUACUCUUUUCUAUAAGAGGAGUGCAUAAGACAACUGGAAGGAAGCACAGCACAGUUAAGGAAUGAGGGGUGCUGAGCUGUAUUUGCAUUAUUUACAUUACUUUUAUAUAACCACACCAAUAGUGAUUGUAACAUGAUUUACACUAUCAGGAGAGAAAGAAUUAGACUUUCUUUUACUGGGAAUCAUUAAAACAAUGAAUACAUAAAGUAGGCAGUACACUGCCUGCACAUUUUUCUUUCAGAGCUUGUACUGAAGGGUGUCUAAGCAAGUGCUUCCUUGUAAAUCCAUUGCGGAGAGCAAAUGAAUCCCAGAGACUGUCGCUCCUUGUUGAUCGUCAGUGGGUGUAGAUGCAGUAGAUGUAAAGGUCUAUGACUCACUGAGCUAGCUAAGGUGAAACCAGAUGAGAGGAGAUAAUUGCACCAUUAUAAAAAGAAUUAUAACAGUUUGAUUACAGAAAAAAAAAAAAGUCUUCUAAUGGUGCCGUAACUCUUGGGAACUAAAAUAUGCGAUGGGACCGAAAGUGAGGAAUUCACGUCAAGGAAUAGCAAAAUGUCCCUUUUAAUUGAUCCAUUUUAAUCAGACAUGUCAAAAAGAUGAUUUCAAGGAUUGAAGGUGUAAUUGGUCAAAACAGCCUAAGGUACUUCCCCAUGCCAGUUCUGAUUACCAUAAAAAAGAAGAGUAAUCAAAGAGAAAAAUUGACAAGGG